rnacentral:misc_RNA from 1 species
GAUGAAGAACGUAGCGAAAUGCGAUAAGUAAUGUGAAUUGCAGAAUUCAGUGAAUCAUCGAAUCUUUGAACGCACAUUGCGCCCGCCAGUAUUCUGGCGGGCAUGCCUGUUCGAGCGUCAUUUCAACCAUCAAGCCCCCGGCUUGUGUUGGGGACCUGCGGCUGCCGCAGGCCCUGAAAAGCAGUGGCGGGCUCGCUGUCACACCGAGCGUAGUAGCAUACAUCUCGCUCUGGGCGUGCUGCGGGUUCCGGCCGUUAAACCACCUUCAUAACCCAAGGUUGACCUCGGAUCAGGUAGGAAGACCCGCUGAACUUAAGCAUACAAUAAGCGGAGGA